GGUAUGUCGCAUCUGGCCCGCUCCGCUACGGGGUUGUGUGCCGGCUUGCGUCUGCCAUCUUUCCGGACCUCUCCAUUACUUCUCUUCACUGGGUUGUUUUGGCGAACCGGAUCUUUUACUUUGAAAAAAUUAGAGUGUUUAAAGCAGGCUUGUGCUAUGAAUACAUUAGCAUGGAAUAAUAAUUUAGGACUUUGGUCUUAUUUUGUUGGUUUCUAGGACUAAAGUA
rnacentral:rRNA from 1 species